GACAGAGGUGGCAAGCGUUGUUCGGAAUUACUGGGCGUAAAGGGCGCGCAGGCGGUUCGUCAAGUCCCGUGUGAAAUCCCCCGGCUCAACUGGGGAACUGCGCGGGAAACUAGCGGGCUUGAGUUCGGGAGAGGAAAGCGGAAUUCCGGGUGUAGCGUUGAAAUGCGCAGAUAUCCGGAGGAACACCAGUGGCGAAGGCGGCUUUCUGGACCGACACUGACGCUGAGGCGCGAAAGCUAGGGGAGCGAACGGG
rnacentral:rRNA from 1 species